rnacentral:antisense_RNA from 1 species
AUAUUCUGCUGCUCAGAAAAGGUUGCAGUUUUAUUACUUUUUAAUGUAGCAUAAAUAUCCCCCUUCAUCAGGGAAACUGACUCAACUUUAUAAUUUGUUAUUAAAGAACUGGGGCUGCUUUCCUGAAGUUGUCCAUCUGUGUUUAUCUAUGGUUCAAGUUGUCUCUUGAGGACCACGAUGCAAUGUUCACCUUGAAAGCGACCACUAAAAUCAUCAUCACCAGCACAGAGGAUAUCAAGAGUCACUUCCAUUGUUUAUAAAAUCCCAUGUGAUCUUACCCAGGCCCACCUCUGCAAGGCAAUCACAUGAUACUUUUUGCUCACGUUGAGAAUAGAAUAGAUACACAAAUAUAACCUCCACCCUAUGGCUCUGAUAUCGAAUGGGAGAGACUAUGAAGUGAGUAGGUAAUUACAAUACAACAUGAUGAGGCCUAUGUUUUGGAAGACAACUCAGGGACUCCCAACCCAAUCUGCGUCAGCAAAGACUUUCUGGAGACAGUGACAUUUAAGCUAAGAUCUUAAGAAUAGUUGGAGAUAUCUAGGCAGGAGAGAAAAAGAAAGAUUGCUCGGGGAAGAAGAAAUAGCAUAUGCAAAGUCCCAGAGACCCCUGAUCUCCAUUCCCCUGGACAUCUCAAGGGCACAAAUUCUCUGGACACACGGAGGGAAUAAUGCUGACAUUUUAUAGAAGCUGAGCCACUGGAUAUCCUUCUCACCCAACUCCAUUAGGCUGGGGAGAGUAAGAGGCACGGUGACAAGGUGGCAAAGAUGUCACCGUGCCAUCCAAUCACGAGGUCUCCAGGAAACUG